UAAGAGUUAGUUUAAGGUAAAAAUUUUGGUCUGUGGAACCGAGGAUAACAUUUAGUUGCUCUUAA
rnacentral:tRNA from 1 species